rnacentral:sRNA from 1 species
CAUAUCCAUAAAAGUACUUUUUGACAACCUGCACUUCAAUCCUGUGGCAAAACAGUAAGAAACUCUCUGCAGUGCAUCUCCUGAAGGGCUUGCCAAAGCCCAGAUUCUGUUAAUCAGCAACUCUGUCUGGUGGUUGUCCCUGCACCCCACAGCUUCAGCACAGGCCAGCAGCAUAUGAACCAACUCUAACCCUUGCUCCACACCAAGAUUUUCAUACAUCUCCAACUCUGAAUCCUCCAUGGUGGCUGGAAGAUAUCCAAAGACAUCAUUCAUGGAGGAGUAUUCAUCAGCAUCAGCCUCAUCCUCAUCAUUAUUCAUCACCACAAAGUGGCCAAAACUUUGAUGCUUCUCUUGGUGCCCUUUAUCUGCUUUCUCAUACUGAUCCAUGUUGAUGAAGCUGUCAACAAAGUCAUCAACUUCUGAUGAAGCUAAACAAGGAGUGCUGGCAUCAGAAUAACAUAAUUCAGUAUCAUCAAACACUACUCCCUCUUGAUCUUGGCACUCUCCUCCUUGCUCUUGCUCCAUUCUUGCAGGACAAUACCUUCUGAUGGCAAAUUCAUGGUCAACACUUUCAUUCAGAUAAGAGGAUAAUAGCCACCUGUUUAUGUCUUCCAUUGUUACUUGAGGUGCUUGAAAUCUGGAAAAAAAGAAUGGG